GAUGAACGCUGGCGGCGUGCCUAAUACAUGCAAGUCGAGCGGACCAAAGAGAGCUUGCUCUCUGAGGUUAGCGGCGGACGGGUGAGUAACACGUGGGUAACCUGCCUGUAAGACGGGGAUAACUUCGGGAAACCGAAGCUAAUACCGGAUGAUAAAGAGAAACGCCUGUUUCUUUUUUGAAAGUCGGCCUUGUGCUGACGCUUACAGAUGGGCCCGCGGCGCAUUAGCUAGUUGGUGAGGUAACGGCUCACCAAGGCGACGAUGCGUAGCCGACCUGAGAGGGUGAUCGGCCACACUGGGACUGAGACACGGCCCAGACGCCUACGGGAGGCAGCAGUAGGGAAUCUUCGGCAAUGGACGAAAGUCUGACCGAGCAACGCCGCGUGAGCGAUGAAGGCCUUCGGGUCGUAAAGCUCUGUUGUCAGAGAAGAACAAGUACCGGAGUAACUGCCGGUACCUUGACGGUACCUGACCAGAAAGCCACGGCUAACUACGUGCCAGCAGCAGCCGCAG
rnacentral:rRNA from 1 species